UUUCCGUAGGUGAACCUGCGGAAGGAUCAUUACAGAGUUCAUGCCCUCACGGGUAGAUCUCCCACCCUUGAGUAUUAUACCUUCGUUGCUUUGGCAGGCCGUGGAAACACCAGAGGCCCCGGCUGAUGCGUGCCUGCCAGAGGAAACAAACUCUGUUUUUAGUGAUGUCUGAGUACUAUAUAAUAGUUAAAACUUUCAACAACGGAUCUCUUGGUUCUG
rnacentral:misc_RNA from 1 species